GAGUCGGAGCAGCCGCCGCCUAGCGGCCUAGGGUUUGAUGUGCGUGCGGACGUGCGGUGGGGGAGUGCGCUGCUGUGCGUGCCGUGGGGGCGUGGUCGCGAUGCAGACUGGGGUGGGGAACGAGUGGAUCCAAAUCAGGGCGUGGUCGUGAUGGAUCCUGGAUGGUUGGAUGUGGCCCCUGGUGCGAACUGCGACGGGGAAAGGACCAGGCACGCACCGGUUUGGUUUAGAGAAUUAGAGUGGCCGGAUUAAUUAGUGAUUAGUAUUAGGUAUAUAAAUAUUUUUGCUACAAAUCAAGGUAUGGCAGGUGCCAUACCCUGCCCACCGGGGAGCUCCGCCAGUG
rnacentral:lncRNA from 1 species